AAUCACAUUUGAAAACUCAACCAUCUUUCUGGGCACAAUUUGAUGGCUGAAGAUAUGCUUCACUCCAAUAAAAAGAAAAUGAAGAUUUUUCAAGAGCAUUCGUAGGCUUCGAAUCAAAAGGACAGUACUUAUUUCCUGAGGUCUGAUAACCGUUGUUUUAUGAGGAAAUAGUACUAGGAUCACAGUACCAUGGAUGUGGUAGGCGAAAAUGAGGCCCUGCAGCAGUUCUUUGAAGGCAGCUGAACUGAAGCUGAUAUUCUUGAUCUGCAGUCCAGUGCUCUACCUCUGAGCUAUACCCUCUCCUUGAAUCUGAUAUUCUAAUGAGAAGAACCAGUUGUUUCAUGUCAUGCUCCUAUUGAUAUGUUAACUGUUUCUAAUCAAACAUCAGGGAGCCAAUGGUACUCUGGAGAACCCAGCCCUGGACACAAGUCUGUUGGAGGAAUUUCUGGGCAAUGACUUUGAUUUGGGGGCC
rnacentral:lncRNA from 10 species